UGUACCUACUCUCUUUCCAAGUUAUGUUUCCACUCUUCUCCUACGCCAAUAACUCAUAAGUCACCAACCUCAACAUAUACUCCUUCAAAGAGCUCAAAUUCAGCCAAGAACAACAGGAAGCACUAUGACAACAGCCACACGCCUCAACAUAUAGUUCCAAAGGCUUUGUGACCAGGGGGAUUAGCGCUGCUUUCCCAAGACAGGUUUAUAUGUGAUUAUGAUCUUCAGGCUUUGCCUAACCAGGUUGGCUGGCUGGUGCUGACGGGACGGAGCUGAGGCUAGAGUUAAAAUUCAUAUGUUAGACUUCCGCUGUAGCAAUUACUCUUAUACAUCUUUUGUUUUCUCAACUUAAGAUGACUUCAUGUCGAGCUUAAAUUUGAAAUUCUAGUUUUAUGCUAAUGAAUGUUGGUUGUCAGAAGCAUGAAACAAAACUUGUGAUCCAAAGGGGCAUAGCCCGACUUUCUAUCCUA